rnacentral:misc_RNA from 1 species
AAGUCGUAACAAGGUUUCCGUAGGUGAACCUGCGGAAGGAUCAUUAAUGAAUUCUCGAGUGCGAGUUGUGCUGGUUCUUACAAGUGCACACUCGUUACUCUUCUAUUCUCCAAUACACCCCACCGUGCACUUCAGACGCGUUCCUUCGGGUUCGGCGUAUCUUUUACAUCAUAUCUUUAUAAUAUAUUGGAAUGAGAAUAUAAUAAUGUUAAUUACAACUAUCAACAACGGAUCUCUUGGCAUUC